rfam:Epulopiscium sp. SCG-B11WGA-EpuloA1 SCGB11WGA_92, whole genome shotgun sequence.
GAACGCCGUAUGAGGUGAAAGUCUCACGUACGGUGUGGAGCAGGGGAAAAGAUGGAGAUAAAUUCAAAGUCUUACCUAUUGCUAU